rnacentral:rRNA from 1 species
UACGUAGGAUGCUAGCGUUGUCCGGAUUUACUGGGCGUAAAGCGCGCGCAGGCGGCACUGUAAGUAAGGUGUGAAAUAUCCCUGCUCAACGGGGAGGGUGCACUUUAGACUGCAGAGCUAGAGGACGGUAGAGGGGGGUGGAAUUGCUGGUGUAGCGGUGAAAUGCGCAGAUAUCAGGAGGAACACCAAUGGCGAAGGCAGCUCGCUGGGACGUGACUGACGCUGAGACGCGAAAGCGUGGGGGAGCAAACAGG